rnacentral:rRNA from 1 species
GAUUAGGUGCCCGUACCGCAAACCGACACAGGUAGUCAAGAUGAGAAUUCUAAGGUGAGCGAGCGAACUCUCGUUAAGGAACUCGGCAAAAUGACCCCGUAACUUCGGGAGAAGGGGUGCUCUUUAGGGUGCAAGCCCAGAAGAGCCGCAGUGAAUAGGCCCAAGCGACUGUUUAUCAAAAACACAGGUCUCUGCUAAACCGUAAGGUGAUGUAUAGGGGCUGACGCCUGCCCGGUGCUGGAAGGUUAAGAGGAGUGGUUAGCUUCUGCGAAGCUACGAAUCGAAGCCCCAGUAAACGGCGGCCGUAACUAUAACGGUCCUAAGGUAGCGAAAUUCCUUGUCGGGUAAGUUCCGACCCGCACGAAAGGCGUAACGAUUUGGGCACUGUCUCAACGAGAGACUCGGUGAAAUCAUAGUACCUGUGAAGAUGCAGGUUACCCGCGACAGGACGGAAAGACCCCGUGGAGCUUUACUGUAGCCUGAUAUUGAAAUUCGGCACAGCUUGUACAGGAUAGGUAGGAGCCUUUGAAACGUGAGCGCUAGCUUACGUGGAGGCGUUGGUGGGAUACUACCCUAGCUGUGUUGGCUUUCUAACCCGCACCACUUAUCGUGGUGGGAGACAGUGUCAGGCGGGCAGUUUGACUGGGGCGGUCGCCUCCUAAAAGGUAACGGAGGCGCUCAAAGGUUCCCUCAGAAUGGUUGGAAAUCAUUCAUAGAGUGUAAAGGCAUAAGGGAGCUUGACUGCGAGACCUACAAGUCGAGCAGGGUCGAAAGACGGACUUAGUGAUCCGGUGGUUCCGCAUGGAAGGGCCAUCGCUCAACGGAUAAAAGCUACCCCGGGGAUAACAGGCUUAUCUCCCCCAAGAGUUCACAUCGACGGGGAGGUUUGGCACCUCGAUGUCGGCUCAUCGCAUCCUGGGGCUGUAGUCGGUCCCAAGGGUUGGGCUGUUCGCCCAUUAAAGCGGUACGCGAGCUGGGUUCAGAACGUCGUGAGACAGUUCGGUCCCUAUCCGUCGUGGGCGUAGGAAAUUUGAGAGGAGCUGUCCUUAGUACGAGAGGACCGGGAUGGACAUACCUCUGGUGUACCAGUUGUCGUGCCAACGGCAUAGCUGGGUAGCUAUGUAUGGACGGGAUAAGUGCUGAAAGCAUCUAAGCAUGAAGCCCCCCUCAAGAUGAGAUUUCCCAACUUCGGUUAUAAGAUCCCUCAGAGAUGAUGAGGUUAAUAGGUUCGAGGUGGAAGCGUGGUGACACGUGGAGCUGACGAAUACUAAUCGAUCGAAGACUUAAUCAAUUU